GAUCACUAUGAUGAAACAUUUUGGAUAUAAAACAAUUUUUCUCCGAUGGCGCAAAACCAUGUGGAUAUUUUCCGUUGCCUUCCUUCUGAUUACCGAU
rnacentral:snoRNA from 1 species